rnacentral:rRNA from 1 species
UGGGGAAUAUUGCACAAUGGGCGCAAGCCUGAUGCAGCCAUGCCGCGUGUAUGAAGAAGGCCUUCGGGUUGUAAAGUACUUUCAGCGAGGAGGAAGGCGGUAAGGUUAAUAACCUUAUCGAUUGACGUUACUCGCAGAAGAAGCCCCGGCUAACUCCGUGCCCGCAGCCGCGGUAAUACGGAGGGUGCAAGCGUUAAUCGGAAUUACUGGGCGUAAAGCGCACGCAGGCGGUCUGUCAAGUCGGAUGUGAAAUCCCCGGGCUCAACCUGGGAACUGCAUUCGAAACUGGCAGGCUAGAGUCUUGUAGAGGGGGGUAGAAUUCCAGGUGUAGCGGUGAAAUGCGUAGAGAUCUGGAGGAAUACCGGUGGCGAAGGCGGCCCCCUGGACAAAGACUGACGCUCAGGUGCGAAAGCGUGGGGAGCAAACA